ensembl:misc_RNA Metazoa_SRP Metazoan signal recognition particle RNA
GCCGGGCAUGGUGGCUCAUGCCUGUAAUCCCAGCGCUUUGGGAGGCCGAGAUGGGUGGAUCACCUGAGGUCAGGAGUUUGAGACCAGCCUGGCCAACAUGGUGAAACCCCGUCUCUA